ACGGGAGGCAGCAGUGGGGAAUAUUGGGCAAUGGGCGAAAGCCUGACCCAGCGACGCCGCGUGAGGGAAGAAGGUCUUCGGAUUGUAAACCUCUGUUGACAGGGAAGAAGAAAGUGACGGUACCUGUCGAGGAAGCCACGGCUAACUACGUGCCAGCAGCCGCGGUAAUACGUAGGUGGCGAGCGUUAUCCGGAAUUACUGGGUGUAAAGGGUGUGUAGGCGGGACUGCAAGUCAGGUGUGAAAACUAUGGGCUCAACCCAUAGCCUGCACUUGAAACUGUAGUUCUUGAGUGUCGGAGAGGUAAAUGGAAUUCCCAGUGUAGCGGUGAAAUGCGUAGAUAUUGGGAAGAACACCGGUGGCGAAGGCGAUUUACUGGACGAUAACUGACGCUGAGACACGAAAGCGUGGGGAGCAAACAGGAUUAGAUACCCUGGUA
rnacentral:rRNA from 2 species